rnacentral:rRNA from 1 species
UACGUAGGGGGCUAGCGUUGUCCGGAAUCAUUGGGCGUAAAGCGCGUGUAGGCGGUCCGGUAAGUCCGCUGUGAAAGUCGGGGGCUCAACCCUCGGAUGCCGGUGGAUACUGUCGGGCUUGAGUACGGAAGAGGCGAGUGGAAUUCCUGGUGUAGCGGUGGAAUGCGCAGAUAUCAGGAGGAACACCGAUGGCGAAGGCAGUUCUCUGGGCCGUAACUGACGCUGAGACGCGAAAGCGUGGGGAGCAAACAGG